UCAGCCCUCUUAUUUCUA
rnacentral:tRNA from 9 species